CCUACGGGAGGCAGCAGUGAGGAAUAUUGGUCAAUGGACGAGAGUCUGAACCAGCCAAGUAGCGUGAAGGAUGACUGCCCUAUGGGUUGUAAACUUCUUUUAUAUGGGAAUAAAAUGUUCCACGUGUGGGAUUUUGUAUGUACCAUAUGAAUAAGGAUCGGCUAACUCCGUGCCAGCAGCCGCGGUAAUACGGAGGAUCCGAGCGUUAUCCGGAUUUAUUGGGUUUAAAGGGAGCGUAGGUGGAUUGUUAAGUCAGUUGUGAAAGUUUGCGGCUCAACCGUAAAAUUGCAGUCGAAACUGACAGUCUUGAGUACAGUAGAGGUGGGCGGAAUUCGUGGUGUAGCGGUGAAAUGCUUAGAUAUCACGAAGAACUCCGAUUGCGAAGGCAGUUCACUGGACUGCAACUGACACUGAGGCUCGAAAGUGUGGGUAUCAAACAGGAUUAGAUACCCGUGUAGUC
rnacentral:rRNA from 1 species